rnacentral:rRNA from 1 species
GAUUGUCUUGUAAUUGGAAUGAACCAAAUUUAAUAUCCAUGAUAAGUACCAAUUGGAGGGCAAGUCUGGUGCCAGCAGCCGCGGUAAUUCCAGCUCCAAUAGCGUAUAUUAAAGUUGUUGCGGUUAAAAAGCUCGUAGUUGGAUUUCUGCUGAGGACGACCGGUCCGCCCUUCGGGUGAGUAUCUGGUUUGGUCUUGGCAUCUUCUUGGUGAACGUAUCUGCACUUGACUGUGUGGUGCGGUACCCAGGACUUUUACUUUGAGGAAAUUAGAGUGUUCACGGCAGGCAAACGCCUUGAAUACAUUAGCAUGGAAUAAUAAUAUAGGACCUUGGUCCCAUUUUGUUGGUUUCUGGAACUGAGGUAAUGAUUAAUAGGGAUAAUUGGGGGCAUUCGUAUUAACGUGUCAGAGGUGGAAUUCUUGGAUUACGUUACGACGAACUACUGCGAAAGCAUCUGCCAAGGAUGUUUUCAUUGAUCAAGAACGAAAGUUAGGGGAUCGAAGACGAUUAGAUACCGUCGUAGUCCUAACCAUAAACUAUGCCGACUGGGGAUUGGUAGAUGUACCAAACACGACUCUAUCAGCACCCUAUGAGAAAUCAAAGUCUUUGG